rnacentral:rRNA from 1 species
GAAAGUAAGCAAGGGCAGACGGUGGAUGCCUUGGCUCUCGGAGGCGAUGAAGGACGUGAUAAGCUGCGAUAAGCUUGGGGUAGGUGCAAAUAACCUUUGAUCCCAAGAUUUCCGAAUGGGGCAACCCGGCUGGUAGAAGGCCAGUCAUUCCGUAAGGAAGGCGAACGUGGGGAACUGAAACAUCUAAGUACCCAUAGGAGAAGAAAACAAAAGUGAUUCCGCAAGUAGUGGCGAGCGAACGCGGAACAGCCCAAACCGAUGAUGUUUAGGCAUUGUCGGGGUAGUAGGACCACGUUGUGGCAAGAGAUUAAGGAAGUAGAACGUUUUGGAACAAACGGCCGUAGACGGUGAAAGCCCGGUAUACGACUCUUUAACGAAGCCUAGUGGAAUCCUGAGUAGCGCGGAGCACGAGAAAUUCUGUGUGAAUCAGCGGGGCCCAUCCCGUAAGGCUAAAUACUCCCGAGAGACCGAUAGCGAACCAGUACUGUGAAGGAAAGGUGAAAAGCACCUCGAACAGAGGAGUGAAAUAGUCCCUGAAACCGUCUGCCUACAAGCGGUCGGAGCAACGUAAGUUGUGACGGCGUGCCUUUUGCAUAAUGAACCUACGAGUUACUUUCUCCGGCAAGGUUAAGGGCUUCAGGCCCGGAGCCGAAGCGAAAGCGAGUCUUAAUAGGGCGUGAUAGUCGGAGUGAGUAGACGCGAAACCAAGUGAUCUACCCUUGGUCAGGAUGAAGGUUGGGUAACACCAACUGGAGGUCCGAAUGGGUAUACGUUGAAAAGUGUUCCAAUGAACUGAGGGUAGGGGUGAAAGGCUAAUCAAACUUGGAGAUAGCUCGUACUCCCCGAAAUGCAUUUAGGUGCAGCCUUUAUUUAGUAUAGCAUGAGGUAGAGCGACUGAUUGGAUGCGAGGGCUUCACCGCCUAUCAAGUCCAGAUAAACUCCGAAUGCGUGCUAUAUAUUGAUAAGGAGUGAGGGCGCGGGUGCUAAGGUCCGCGUCCGAGAGGAGAAGAAUCCAGACCAUCAGCUAAGGUCCCCAAAUAACAGUUAAGUUGAACUAACGAAGUCGGACUGCAGAGACAGCUAGGAUGUUGGCUUGGAAGCAGCCAUUCAUUUAAAGAGUGCGUAACAGCUCACUAGUCGAGGAGUCCGGCGUGGAUAAUACUCGGGCAUAAACUGUUUACCGAAGCUAUGGAUGUAGAAAUACAUGGUAGGGGAGCAUUCCAACGGCGUUGAAGGUGAAGGAUGACCUUUGCUGGAGCUUUUGGAAACGCAAAUGUAGGUAUAAGUAACGAUAAAGGAGGUGAGAAACCUCCUCGCCGAAAGACUAAGGUUUCCUGAUCAACGUUAAUCGGAUCAGGGUAAGUCGGGACCUAAGGUUAAGCCGAACGGCGAUACCGAUGGAAGAAUGGUUUAAUAUUCCCAUACUACUUUAUGGAGCGAUGUGGAGACGGAGAAGUGAAAGUCCUGCCAUCUGACGGAAUAGGUGGUUGAAGAGUGUAGAUGUAGAUUCCUGUAGGCAAAUCCGCAGGGAGAGUCGACCUUGACAGUAUGCCGCGUGCUUGCACAAGGCAAAAUGGACGUAAUCAGGCUCCCAAGAAAAUCCGCUAAGCAUAUUCAUAAAGUACCCGUACCGUAAACGGACACACGUAGUUGGGUUGAAAAUACUGAGGCGCUCGAGUGAUUCACGGUUAAGGAACUAGGCAAAUUGACCCUGUAACUUCGGGAUAAAGGGUCCCUACUGAGAGGUAGGGCGCAGAGAAUAGGUCCAGGCAACUGUUUAACAAAAACACAUGGCUGUGCGAAAUAGAAAUAUGAAGUAUACAGCCUGACACCUGCCCGGUGCUGGAAGGUUAAGAGGAGAGCUCAUCGCAAGAGAAGGCUUGAAUUGAAGCCCCAGUAAACGGCGGCCGUAACUAUAACGGUCCUAAGGUAGCGAAAUUCCUUGUCGGGUAAGUUC